UGACAUUAAAAUAAUAUAACAACAUUUAUUUAAACAAAUCACACACAAAUCUCAAAUAGUAUAGAAUUUCAGAGUUUACAUAACCAAAAGAUAUCACAUGAAAUAACAUAAUAUGUUUUAAGAAACAUUUAUCUUUACAUAGAUUCGACUUGUGACACCCAAAUUCAUUUUAAUUUUAAAUGAAAACGCACGCGGAAAAUCAUGACUAUAAAUAAAUAUUUAAUGUGAAAAUAGGGAAAUAAACAUCUUAUGUUAAAAUACUUUACUAAACAUAACGUUUUUAAGUAUAACUAAAUUCAAAACAUUUUACUCGCCAUUCGACCUUCCACGCGCUUCCGGCCUUUAAAACCUGAAAAUGUUAAAUAUGGGAUGAGCAUACAGGGUACACUCAGUGUGGGAACAUGCAAUAAUUGUCCAUGUUAAUAAAAUGGUAACACAUAUUGUCAUAACGUAACAUAAAUUUCCAUACGCACUGUGGCAACUCCAAGGACUUUAAUGUCCCGGACCCUAUAUGUGGGCCCCUGGCGACAAUAUAAUGGUUGCAACCCUGUAACAUGAAAUCGCUUUGUGGCAUACCAAGGACGGUGAAGUCCUGGACCAAUUAUGCUGGCCCCUAGCGAUAAAUAUUUUUACAACACAUACGGUAAACACAUAAUAUUAAAAUGGACAAAUAUUAACCACGUGCAUGUACUGAAAUAAAUCCCACACCUGAAACUUGAACUUUUGAGUUUUGAAAAUUAACUGCAAGAAUUUAAAGUUCACGUCCUAGUCGCGCCGCACCUAGUCAGAUAAAUUCAAAAUAUAAGGGCCUAUUUGAAUCUAUAAAAAUAAUAAUAGUAAUAGUAAUUUAAAUCUUAAGAAUUUAUUAUCAUAUAACCAUUUAAAAAUCAUUGGUCUAAUAGAUUAUAAAAGAGCUUUUCUUAUAAAAAUAUUUGGGCUCAAUAUUUAAUUAAAACUAAGUUCAAAUUAAUAAUGUAAAUCGAAAUAUAAAAUUUAAUAAUAUCAUUUGUAAAAAUAUAUGCAAAUGCAGCCAUAUUAAAAGUAGAAUUAAGCCCAACUUAUUUAGUAAAAUUAAUGCCCAACCAUUUAAUAAAUUAAGCCCCAAUUAAAGCUUUAGCCCACCCUUAAGCCCAAAUUCAUUCUCUCUCUUAAAUCCCUAAUUUAACUCUCACUUUCACCACACAAUUACAAAAUACGCAGCUCACCCCACUUCACCAUUCACGCAGGCUCCCUUUCCCCCUUCUCCCUCUCUCCCUCGGCCUCCCCCUGCCUCCGCCACCGGCACACCGUCGCCGGAGGCCGACGACUCCUCUUCUUCCUCCCAAUUGGCCGACCGCAACGCCACCACCGCCGUCCCUGUGUCGACGGAGGCGCGUCCAGCCGCCUCCCUUCUUGUACUGCCGCCGCCGCCCUCUCUCCCUUUCCAGAUCCGGCCAGACAACCAUCUGACGCCGCCCCCUGCUCCGGCGGGUAGCUCCUCAUCCCACUUCAUCCCAACUCCCUUUAUCAAUAUAGGUUUCUAAAUCUAAAUUUGUUUUCUGUAAAAUCAAUGAAUAUGUAUUCCUUUUCGAUUUCUUAUGAAUUACAAACACUAGAUCUAAUGAUGUGUGUAUGCAUGUUUGGAUUUAUAAAAAUAAGAAUUUUGUGGGAGUUUGGUUGUUUUCUGUAAAUUGAAAGAAAGCAGAGAUCUUUGCAUAUGAAAAUAAAACUAUACAAGUUUAUGAGAAUUACCGAUUGAUGAUGUGCAGUGAGAAAUGGCAGAUUGAAUUAUUUUGUGAAAAGAGCAAAUGGAGAAAUCUGUUGAUGGUUUAUGAUUUGAAACUGAUGGAAUGAGAAUGAUACAAUGAGGUUUAAAUAGAUUGAAUUACUUGUUUGAACAUAAACGUGUGAAAGAGAUCAAUCAAAGUUUGCUGCUUCAAAAUUUGCUGCUGUGGAAAUCAAAUUUUACGGAAAGGCUUUUGAAUCUUCUGUUUGCUUUUGAAUUGAAGAUGUUGGGGAUUUUAGAAUUUGAGAGUAAAAUGAAUUGUGAGAGUUUAAAAUUAUUAAAAAUUGUAUUUUGUGCAGAUAUAGAAGUGAACUGUAGGAAAAUGAAAAUUUGCAGAAAUAAUAAAAUUACCUUUACAGAGAAAAGAGCACAAAUGAUCUUAAAGAUUGCUGCGUUUUUGGCAUGAUAACUGAGAUGAUAAAGGAUGAUGUUUUAAAUAAGAAAAUUUGAGAUGAUACUUGUGGCUCAAGAAUGUUUUGAGACGAAACGUGGCCGAGUGAAAUGAAAUGGCUGUAGCAAAGUGAUACACCUAUACCUUCUUUUAAAUUAAAAUAAUAAUUUAUAUAAUAUAUAAGAAUGUAUGGGCUUCCAUGAAAAAU
rnacentral:lncRNA from 1 species